GACGAACGCUGGCGGCGUGCCUAAUACAUGCAAGUAGAACGCUGAAGGAGGAGCUUGCUUCUCUGGAUGAGUUGCGAACGGGUGAGUAACGCGUAGGUAACCUGCCUGGUAGCGGGGGAUAACAUUGGGAAAGAAAACUAAAUACCCCAAAAAAUAGGAGUUUGAAUACAUUUUCCUUAAAAGUUGAAAUUUAUCCACAACCAAAGGAACUUCGUUGUAUUAGCCAGGUGGUGGGGUAAAGGCUUUCCAAGGGGACGAUACAUAGCCGACCCGAGAGGGUGAUCGGCCACACUGGGACUGAGACACGGCCCAGACUCCUACGGGAGGCAGCAGUAGGGAAUCUUCGGCAAUGGACGGAAGUCUGACCGAGCAACGCCGCGGGAGUGAAGAAGGGUUUCGGAUCGUAAAGCUCGGUUGUAAGAGAAGAACGAGUGUGAGAGUGGAAAGUUCACACUGUGACGGUAUCUUACCAGAAAGGGACGGCUAACUACGUG
rnacentral:rRNA from 1 species